UUAUAUAAGAAAGUUAAUGUGUUUCUGGAAAAAAUCUUAUUGAACAUGACAGAGUAGAAAUUCUAUGAAGACCUACGGGAGAAAUUUGUCUCAGAUCUUAGACCCCAGAAGAGCUGAUCCCCCCACAACUGGUUUCUCCAGCAUAUGUCUAUACCGUUAGUCUUGUAACCAACUCUAUUUCCUUCCUCCAAUUGGCUGCUAGGAAGCUCAGAGGCAAAUUUCAGUCCACUCCUAACAAAGCAUGCCCGGUUUUUCUCUCCUUUCCAGUUUCCUCACUUAAGUUUUUUAAAAUCUUGUGCCAAAUUUAUGUUUUGUUGGCCUCCGAGAAUCAUAUGAAACAUGGAACACACCAAAAAAAUGAAAAUUGAUUAAUAAUAGUCCAUUCUGUUGAACUGGAAAAUUUUGAGAGAAGAUCUGGUCCUGUUCCCUAAAUUAUAGAGAAUGCAUUUAAAGCUUCAAGAGGAGUGAAGGGUCAGGGUGCCUGAGUAAAGUGGGCGCGGGGCCUCUACCCAGGUGCUCUAUCCCAACUAUUUCUCUUUCUGCUCUGUCACCAUGAACCACCAAAAUCCAGACGAGGAUUUUUCCAACCAUUUCUAUGCAGUCUCAUGAAACCAUCUUUAGAAGAAUCAACUCAUCCUGCUACCCUUGGCUUCUCCUCAGGGAUCCUCUUGGCAUCAUGGGUCGGGUGAGCAGCACCCUCCAUCCAGAAGCAGGGCGAGGUGUGAUCUUCUACAUCACAGUGGAGCAGAAUGUGGGCAUUUCGGAAACAACUUGUUUUAAACAAGAUCAUUCAGAUGUGAACUCUAGACCCUGAAGUGGGGUAGCCUUGUGUGCCCGCUGCGAAUCCGAGCCGUGGAUGCUCCGUGUCACUGUGCAGGAGAAUGGGGGGCGGGGGGAGGGGGCGGGGCACGGGGUUUUAGGGCAAUCCUCGAGAGAUUGAGAGAGAGACCGCAUGAGUGCUGGUCCUCUGCCACCCGAGCAGCAGGGAAUCAGCCCCUCCACCUCGCCUCGUUUGCAAAUUGUAAAUUCCCCAGGGAAGAAAGAGCUCUCUAGCGCGAGAAGUGGUCAGGGCUUGGGAAAGAAAUGAUGCUUUUAAAACAAAUUAGACUGCGUCUGAUUGGACAGGCAGCUGCCACCUCAUCUUCCCCUCGAGCUCUCUGGGGCUCUCUGCCUCUGAGGCCUUCCAUCCCUGAGCUCGACAGUCUUUCACGAGUUGUGACGGUGGCUGGCAAAAUGCAGUCUUUGUCCUCUCGAGGCCUGUGGGCUCCCUCGGGCUAGGAGGCCAGGUGGUGGGGGUCCCUCCAAGAGGCUGGGAAAGGCCUGAGCUCGUGUCUGGGCUCCCAGCUCGGCAGCCCUGUUGUCCUGCUCUCACGGUGCACCCAGAGCCGGGCAGGCAAAGCCAGGAUGGGCUGCGGGCUGUGGGGACUCUGGGCCCCUGGAAAGCGCUGCUCUGCUGUCUCCAGCUCUUGGCCGAGGGAUCACCGCUGCGGGAAGCCUUCCCUGACCUCCUGCCAGUCUCAUCAUAACAUCGACCUCUCCUUCCUGGCUCUUGUCAUAGUUGUAGGUGAUUCUGUGUGAUUGUUCAUUUAAUGUCUCUCGUCUAAGGAACCGUGUGCUCUGUGAAGGCAGGUAACAUGGUGGCUCUUGCUCAUCACUGUGCCCAUCCCAGUUUGGCUGAAUGAAUAAAUGAUUGAACGAGUGGAUCUCUGAACUGUUAAGCAUCUCUUGUCCCUGAUCUCUUGAGUUAGGCCCGGUGCCCCAUGGGGCCGGGCUGGGAGAGGAGGUCUCUCUCUCUCCUGUUAACUGGGGCAGGUGCUGUUCCAGGCAGACGGGCCCAGGAUGGGAUGGCCGUGGUUAUGGCAGGAGACGUGAGCCUCCGCCCAGAAGGCGGUCCUGGAGACGCCUGGCACUGAGCAGGAGGUGAGUGAGCAGUCAGUUGCACUGGAGUCUGGCCCAGGUGUCCAUUUCAUAAACAUGAUGAUGAGGCAAGUAGGUAGAGCUCGGAGUUUGUAUACGUGUUUUUAAAUCUGUGGUUUUUAAAGUACAAAACUAAUGAAGGAGGAGAAGAAACCUGAGUGGCCACAUGAAAACCUCUUUAAUAAUUGUGGAAAUGCAACUUUAAACAGCAAUGCGAUACUAUUUCUGUCCAUCAGCUGGGCUAAAAGCAAAUGGCCUGAUGGUGCCAGUGUUGGUGAAGAGGUGGGGGAGGCCCUCGUGGGCCAGGAGGGAGGAGGCAAAUUGGUAAACUGCACUGAGAGCUCUUUGGGGGUAUAGGGUUGACCUUAAAAUGUGCACACCCAAGGACCGUGAUCCCUUUCUAGAUACAUAUUUUAGUCUAGAGCCGUGGUCUUCAAACUAUAGUUCACAUCUAAACCACCGGGAGGGUUCGCUACAACAGAGUGCCCGGGGCCCACCUCCAGGGUUUCUGAUUCAGUCUGAUGUGGGGCCUGAGAAUUCUCAUUUUGCUUCGUUCCCAGGCAAUGCUGACGCUGCUGGUCUUGGGGCCACACUUGGAGAACCACUAUUCCGGUUAAAUUCUUGCUUAUGUGCACAGGGAAACCUGCCUAGUGAUGUCCAUUAUGCUAU
rnacentral:lncRNA from 1 species